UUGCGGAAAUCGAAAAGUGAUUUCCGAGGCGUUUUUCGGCGAAAUCUGCCGAUAGAACGCGGUUUCGGUUCGGAAUUCUUCCGAUGGUUCUUGGGGAUCAUUUGUUUCGUCGCUAAGCCUUGUUGGCUGGCCACCUGCAUCGUUUCAUGGGUUUGGAAACGACGGGUGAGCGACGGUGAAGUUCCGGUGCGGUUUUCGGGACUUCCGGUUUAUUCAGUAAUCGAUUUUGGGAAACCGGUCGUGGUUCUGGUGAGCAGGGGUUGUGAGUUAGCUUUUCAUGACAAUGGGUUAGAUAUUAA
rnacentral:lncRNA from 1 species